rnacentral:rRNA from 1 species
GACGAAGGUGGCGAGCGUUGUUCGGAAUCACUGGGCAUAAAGCGCACGUAGGCGGUGACGUAAGUCGGGUGUGAAAUCCCUCGGCCUAACCGAGGAACUGCACCCGAUACUGCGUUGCUUGAGGACCAGAGGGGUGCAUGGAAUUUCCGGUGGAGCGGUGAAAUGCGUUGAUAUCGGAAGGAACUCCGGCGGCGAAAGCGAUGCACUGGCUGGUUUCUGACGCUGAGGUGCGAAAGCCAGGGGAGCAAACGGG